UACGUAGGGUGCAAGCGUUGUCCGGAAUUAUUGGGCGUAAAGAGCUCGUAGGUGGUUUGUCGCGUUGUUCGUGAAAACUCACAGCUCAACUGUGGGCGUGCGGGCGAUACGGGCAGACUAGAGUACUGCAGGGGAGACUGGAAUUCCUGGUGUAGCGGUGGAAUGCGCAGAUAUCAGGAAGAACACCCGUGGCGAAGGCGGUUCUCUGGGACGGUACUGACGCUGGAGACGCGAAAGCGUGGGGAGCGAACAGG
rnacentral:rRNA from 1 species